rnacentral:rRNA from 1 species
GACGAACGCUGGCGGCGUGGAUUAGGCAUGCAAGUCGAACGGUAUCAUCCUUUCGGGGGUGAGAGAGUGGCGAACUGGUGAGUAACACGUAGGUUAUCUACCCUCAAGACGGGGACAACCCAGGGAAACUUGGGCUAAUACCGGAUGUGAGCAACUUUUAGUUGUUUGAAAGGUGGCGUAAGCUGUCGCUUGGGGAUGAGCCUGCGUCCUAUUAGUUAGUUGGUGAGGUAACGGCUCACCUAGGCAAUGAUAGGUAGGCGGCCUUAACGGGUGGUCGCCCACACUGGGAUUGAGAUACGGCCCAGACUCCUACGGGAGGCAGCAGUCGAGAAUAGUCUACAAUGGUCGGAAGACUGAUAGUGCGACGCCGCGUGAACGAUGAAUCCCUUCGGGGUGUAAAGUUCUUUUAUAUGUGAGCAGUGCUUCUUAUAUUAACAGUAUGGGGAAGAGAUAUUAGCAUAUGAAUAAGCAACGGCUAACUCCGUGCCAGCAGCCGCGGUAAACUCG